CGAAUUGUAGUUUAGUAAAAUAUUAACUUUGGAAGUUAAAGAUCGAGCAUUUGGCUUGCAUUUCGA
rnacentral:tRNA from 1 species